rnacentral:misc_RNA from 1 species
ACAACAACAGCAACCGAAAGAUGAGGGGCCGCCGAUUAUUCCGCCGGAUGUUGUUCUAUGGGCUGCUGAACAAUCGGACUACGUAGGCUUCAACCCUUGGUUUGUUACUACCGUCGUUGGGAUGGCCAACCUCGCUGAAACGUUGUUCCUGUUCAAUAUCAUCGCCGCCGCUUUCUACUUCACCUCAGCGUUCUACACCUUCUGGAAGUCCGGCGACGACACUUUCGGCAAGCUUGCAGCGGUCGUAGCGGGGUUAGCAGGGUACAGCCAUUACUUCUACGCGAAACGCUGCUACAUCAGGGUGUUUAGCCAGCCGGAAAGCUAAUUCCCUGUCUCCUCGAAGCCUGCGGCUACCACGGAUGCUUACCACGUUUCCACUCCUAAUUCGUCGCUUCGCAAUCUGAUUUGAUUAUUUUCUUUUGUUGAGUUCGUUUUGAUUUGCUUGAAAUAAUGGUUCACUGUGCACAAAGGUGAGCGUAUCAAAGUAUUCACUGGUAUUUUUACACACACACCGUAAUUAAUUAUUCUACUAACCACUGUCGACCUAAAGGCACAGGUGAUACAGAAAACAAGGACAGUAUCUGUAAUGGAAUCGAAGCAAUAUCUUGGCGCUGCUACAAUGUUGAAAUGACGAUGCCCAAACGGAAAAGCGGCAGCCCGGUCGGGCUGCCGCACUGUGUUUUGUUCAUGUUAAUAAAGAGGGGGACGCCCCCCCCCUCCU